UACGUAGGGUGCAAGCGUUGUCCGGAAUUAUUGGGCGUAAAGAGCGUGUAGGCGGCCCGAUUAGUCCGCUGUGAAAGUCCAGGGCUCAACCCUGGAAUGCCGGUGGAUACUGUCGGGCUAGAGUCCGGAAGGGGCGAGUGGAAUUCCUGGCGUAGCGGUGAAAUGCGCAGAUAUCAGGAGGAACACCAAUGGCGAAGGCAGCUCGCUGGGACGUGACUGACGCUGAGACGCGAAAGCGUGGGGAGCAAACAGG
rnacentral:rRNA from 1 species